GAAACAACGACCACGGAGCUGCUCAAUUUGUCUGGUACAUGGACCCAUGGCUCCUGAGAGGUGGGAAGGGGCUGCCUGCAUCCGUGGGCCCUGAAUCACCACAUAGAGGAAGAUGCCUCUGCUUCUCGAUGUUGGAGGUCAUUUCUCAGAUGGGAAACUGGAGCUGGCCCAGCCACUCACUCUUUCCUAGUUUGUUCUGUCUCUGAUUGACGAGCAAAUGGGAUGAAGCAUGAGGUUGAGGGCGAGAGGGCUGUGUUAUCUCAAGAAGGCCUCUCCGAGGAGCUGAUAUUUGAGCUGAGAUAGUCAUAAACUCUCAGGAUGAGCAGGUGGGUCUUAGAGAUAGAUCCUCUGGUCCAGGCAUCGCCGGGAAUCUUUUAGAGGGCAGGAGGUGUUCCAGUGUAAAUACAAAACAGAAAAAGCAUGACAUGAAAGAAUCUGGUGCUCAGCCUCCAAGCUGAGGGGUGGUCAGGUGUGGCAGGACUGUGGCUACCUGGAGCAUGCAUGCCCUCCUGCAGUGGGCAAAAGCUGCCUCACUCAGCCAACUGCCCAGGCCAGAGUGCAAGCCCUAAGAGGCCAGCCUCCUGAUGCUGCCAAGAGACAGA
rnacentral:lncRNA from 1 species